rnacentral:rRNA from 1 species
UACGUAGGCAGCGAGCGUUGUUCGGAGUUACUGGGCGUAAAGAGUGCGUAGGCGGUUCUUUAAGUCUGGUGUGAAAUCUCCCGGCUCAACCGGGAGGGUGCGCCGGAAACUGGAGAGCUUUGAGUGUGGGAGAGGCAGGCGGAAUUCCCGGUGUGAGCGGUGAAAUGCGUAGAUAUCGGGAGGAACACCUGUGAUGUAGAUGGCCUGCUGGACCACAACUGACGCUGAGGCACGAAAGCGUGGGGAGCAAACAGG